AAACCUCCAAGAACGUCCACACAAGCGCCUAGCUUCAACGUGUCGAUUGGGCAAGUCUCUGGCUUAGGUGGAGUUGGUGUUGGCGGUGUUACGACCGGUGGGCUUGGUGUUGGUGGCGUAACAACAGGUGGCGGUGGGCACGGUGAUGGCGGUGGCGGUGGGCACGGUGAUGGCGGCGUUACGACGGGUGGAGGCGUAUGAGUGGGUGGUUUAGGGGUGGACGGAGGUGGUUUAACAGUGGGCGGUUUCGUGGGUGGUUUCGGGGUAGACGGAGGAGGUUUAACGGUGGGCGGUUUCGUGGGUGGUUUCGGGGUGGACGGAGGUGGUUUAACGGUGGGCGGUUUCGUGGGUGGUUUCGGGGUGGGAUGAGGUUUGGUAGGGGGUUUCGGAUGUGGGUGUGGUUUGACAGUGGGCGGUUUGGUAGGGGGUUUAGGGUGUGGGUGUGGUUUGACGGUGGGUGGUUUGGGAGGUUUUACUGCCGGUGGUUUAGGCGGUUUGCUAGGAUGUUUAGGCGGUUUGUGGGGGUGAGGUGAUGGUUUAGGAGGGCUACAGUCGCAAGCGAAGGAGACGGCAAGAAAGCCAAGGAAGAGGAAGAUAAGAAAAGAGAGGUUUUGUGUACGAGACCCCAUUUUUCUAGA
rnacentral:lncRNA from 1 species